AGAAAGAAGCGAACUUGGAAAUUCAGGUACAAAACGCUCGUUUCCAGCGAAAUGCGCGGGGAGUUUUGGUAUUGAGACAUGUCCCAGAGUGCAAUGAUCUUAGAUCGUAAAACAUGGCUGAGAAAAAUGCCGAUCGGAAGGAUUUUCGGUGCGCAAACCACCUCCGCGUAGACAACGGUUGAAAUCGGAGUGUGCAGCCUGACUUGGUCUUUUGACAGGAAUAACAGUGAUGGUAAAGCAAGCUUAAAACGGCAAAAAUCGCUGGAAUCUACAACGGACACACAGGAUGCGAGUACAAAUACCGAGGAGUUCGGAUGUGCUGAGAAUGGACGGAGGAGAGCUUGAUUUUGAAUGUCAAACUUGGCGGUAAAAGGGUGAAACGGUCGUGAAACGGACACUCAGGAAUUGUGAAGUAUGACCACGAAAGUGCUGAAGAAUGGUCAACCGCAGUAGAAUUUGACGUUUAACAGGGAGAUUCAACUCAACCAACUGGAUCCCCCACUAAGUUCUCACGUUGUUCUAAAGGACGUGGCGAAACUUUUGAAUUUAUCUUUAGACUUAAGUUGAAUUUUACAUUUUGUCUUUGUACGUGUGCGGAUGUUUUUCGUCGUUUAUGGGAAUAAAUAAACGCCUCGCUGGUUGUUUAGAAUACGGGGCUUUUCGAUUCAGUUCCGUA